UUUUAUUUGAGAGUUUGAUCCUGGCUCAGGAUGAACGCUGGCGGCGUGCCUAACACAUGCAAGUUGAGCGAUUUACUUCGGUAAAGAGCGGCGGACGGGUGAGUAACGCGUGGGUAACCUACCCUGUACACACGGAUAACAUACCGAAAGGUAUGCUAAUACGGGAUAAUAUAUUUGAGAGGCAUCUCUUAAAUAUCAAAGGUGAGCCAGUACAGGAUGGACCCGCGUCUGAUUAGUU
rnacentral:rRNA from 1 species